GCACCCAUUCACUACAGAGGAUCCAUUGGUGAGCAAGUGAUGUAAUGCUAAAUUUCUCAAAAUCUGUUCCGAUGAACAAACAAAUGAUCUAACAAUCACCUAUCUUAGGCCUGAAGGCAGUAUCAUUGGGAUGGUUGGAGGCUGCUGCUCAGUCUGUUUUGUUUCGGCAUCUUUUUCCCUUGUGCAAAUAGCAUCGUAAGCUCCUUCCUUCCAUUCAUCAAUCCAUCCAUAAGUCCACCCACAUGAAUAAAUGCCCAGUUCUGUACAUGUUCUUCCACUUAACUUUACUAACACCGUACCAGCCGCCUCUGAGAACAUCACAGCCAUGCCUGCCAUCAUAGAUACUGCCAUGUGACUUGUAGAUCAGUACCAGCAUGCACUGUAUAGUAUAUGCUUAGGGAAAUAUUAAAUGCUUAUCCUCAUCUUCCAGCAAACCUGUAGGGCUGAAUGGGUUAUAUUCUCUGUACAGCUCCUCCGGAGCACACGGUAAGAUGGUCCUAUGGCUUUAAUUACAGUAAAAUGCAUUGUUGCUUUAGCUGAUUUUACUGUAGUAAACCUGCUUCUAACAGCUCGAUGGUCAUAAAGAAAUUAUUGGAAAUGUAAAGGAGGAUGCUAGAACAGAGGAAGAGUGCCAGUGUCACAUCCAGUGUUUCAUGUGGAGCAUAUAGAAAUAAAAUUAGAAAGGGUUGCCCUGCAAACUGAGUAUUUUAAAUAUGAUGUAUGCUGAUGAUGUCAGUAUUACAGAGAUGUGUUCCUGUAAUAAUUUUACCAAGGUGUUCAUUUUUGUAAUAGACUGUAUGCUUCUGUCACAGUUGUAUUGUUUUGUAUGAGUAGCUGCUGUACAUAAAGACCAAAGAAAACUAUUUUUACAACAUGUGCUAAAAUGUUAACGUCGAAUAUAAAGGACAAAUCCAAAUGACAAAAGAGAAUGUUCAGCAAAUCAGUUUUUCUAAUAAAAGCAGGUGAGCAUCAUGUGUUACUGCUGUUGUAGCCCUCGUGGGUGAACCUCACAAGUCUGGCUCAUAUUUCACCCCAGA